rnacentral:rRNA from 1 species
UACGUAGGGUGCGAGCGUUGUCCGGAAUUAUUGGGCGUAAAGGGCUCGUAGGCGGUUUGUCGCGUCGGGAGUGAAAUCCACUGGCUUAACUGGUGGCUUGCUUUCGAUACGGGCAGACUGGAGGUAUGCAGGGGGAGAACGGAAUUCCUGGUGUAGCGGUGAAAUGCGCAGAUAUCAGGAGGAACACCAAUGGCGAAGGCAGCUCGCUGGGACGGUACUGACGCUGAGGCGCGAAAGCGUGGGGAGCAAACAGG